CCCCCUUCUCUUUCUGGGGCCUUCCUGCCACAAUCCCCUCGGACGGGCCCACUUGGAUCGAUCGCCACUCGGUAUUGACGCGGCACCUGCCGAGGUCCCAGUAGGAAAGCGGAAAAAGGAGAAGAGGCCUCUUCAGAGGAACUCGCGAACGGGAGAUGUGCAGCUGAAGCCGAGUUAUUAGCGUCUCCGUUUUUAUGGCAUGGCUUCGUCACUUUUUUUGAGCCACCAAUAGUGAGGUAUGGGCCUACCAAAUCUCUCGUUGCUGAGUGAAGCUGGCUUUAAGAGAUGAGCUUUCCCCAAAUUGCAGUGCUUGCUUUCCGUGGCGUUCACCAUUCCCUCCGCGAACGGCGUCAUCUUUUCCCACCUGGCGCGGCGCUACCCGGCUCUCACGAGGUCGUAUUCGACGAAGGCCGCCGCUUGCGGGGCGGGGCUGGCGCUGGCACCUGCCGCCGCUUGGGCCACCACGACUCCAUCCGGGCGAACGACGGUCGCUGUGAGUGGCUCACGAGAAGGCCGACUU